rnacentral:lncRNA from 7 species
GUGUCCUAGUAUUAGGCCUGUGUUGUGUGUAUGUAAAAUUAUGAUAAUGGUUUCCCUUGAAGCAUGUCUGGUAGAUGCGUUUUUGCUACAAGAUGGGAUUAAGCUGGAGAGCAACUUUGUUGUGGAGGUCAUGUCCAGUUUGAUGCGCAGUAAUUCAGAGUUACUUGGGCUGAUUUUAGUUCCUUACUGGAGUUCUGCAAGGGAUUAAAGAGGUGAGGGCUGAGAAGAUCGACACGCUUCACAGAGGCGUGAGGAUGACAGACAAUGGACAUAAGUGAUAAACCCCACCUGUCUUUCAAGGUUAUUGGAAAUAUCAAGAUGAUUGGAGUGUGGUGGCAUAUAUAAAGACAGUUGAGUCAUAAUGCCUAGAUCAUUGUGAAGUUUUUUUUUUUUUCACCCAGGGUUAUGUAUGACCAUUCUGGAAUCAAAACUUGUCUUAGGAAAUCCCGAGGGGCCAUAUGCUGGUCAUACUUGACUGUCUUUUGGAGAUCUUAAAAUUAAUUGCAAUUUGAAUUAAAUUAAAUUGUAAUUACCAUUCGAUUAAGUUAAAUUAUAUGUAGGCUAAGUAGCAAAAAAGAAGUAAUGUCAUUCUCAACAGACCUUGGGGAAAAAGUUGGAAGUGACCUUUCCCACUGUGAAUGAUACAAUCUGCCUCACUAUUACGGAGUGCUCCAUAGAUUUCUGGCAAAUGACUGACUUCUUGGAAAGCAGAAAUUUUGAGGAUAAAGAAACCAUUUUGGAUCAUAAAUGGAGUAUCAAACUGUGUUAAUUAAGUGAAUGGACCUUAGUAUAUUCACAGUGAGUCUGUACUAUUUGCCAUAAAACAUAAGCUGUAUCUUACCAACAUAGUGACUCGUCACUGUUAAACUGUGAGUUGAAACUAUUAAGGCUUUAUUAAAGAAAAUUGCAAAAAGCAAAGAAAAUAUAUGGCAAGCUAUUCAUUCUGGGAGUGAAAAGAGAUACUAAUGAAGGUCUAUAGUUUAGCAGAGUGAUCGUUACUGUUUCCCUGGUGUGCCAGGGCUGCAAAGAACGUCAGGAGGAGCUACAGUGAAGCCUCUGUUUCUACUAUGCACACAUAAAUGAGCAUAGAUGUUACUUAAAGGAAAAUAAGAAAAAGACAAUCAAAAAUGCAAAAUGGAAGUGUAAUUUUGAAGACAGUGGAAUGUGCACUUCAGUGGGACUUAUUGAGAAAGAAGCAGAAUGAAUAAGUCAACAAAUUGUUUUUAGGCAUCCAAAACAGAUUUUCAAAAUACCAUACAAAUAGAAGAAUAUGAGGAAAAAAGGCCAUAUCCUUCUGUUACAUGACGACCUGUUACUUGCACCAAUGCAAAAAUGUUUAUAAGAUAUCUGUCAGCAUGUGAGGCCAGAUGAUUUCAUUCUGUUUGGUGGACACCUGGGAGGGAUUACAUGGUAGACUAUGAAAGAAGGCAAACUAUUAUGUAAUAUUUACUUUGUUCAUUCCAAAGAAGUUUAUGCAAUCAUACCAUUCUAUG